UACGUAGGUGGCAAGCGUUUGUCCGGAUUUACUGGGCGUAAAGAGCGUGUAGGCGGUCCUGUAAGUCCGCUGUGAAAGUCAAGGGCUCAACCCUUGAAUGCCGGUGGAUACUGCAGGACUAGAGUCCGGAAGAGGCGAGUGGAAUUCCUGGUGUAGCGGUGAAAUGCGCAGAUAUCAGGAGGAACACCGAUUGCGAAAGGCAGCUCGCUGGGACGUUA
rnacentral:rRNA from 1 species